GGGUUGUGAGGUUAAGCGACUAAGCGUACACGGUGGAUGCCCUGGCAGUCAGAGGCGAUGAAGGACGUGCUAAUCUGCGAUAAGCGCCGGUAAGGUGAUAUGAACCGUUAUAACCGGCGAUUUCCGAAUGGGGAAACCCAGUGUGACUCGUCACACUAUCAUUAACUGAAUCCAUAGGUUAAUGAGGCGAACCGGGGGAACUGAAACAUCUAAGUACCCCGAGGAAAAGAAAUCAACCGAGAUUCCCCCAGUAGCGGCGAGCGAACGGGGAGGAGCCCAGAGCCUGAAUCAGCAUGUGUGUUAGUGGAAGCGUCUGGAAAGGCGCGCGAUACAGGGUGACAGCCCCGUACACAAAAGCGCAUGUGCUGUGAGCUCGAUGAGUAGGGCGGGACACGUGGUAUCCUGUCUGAAUAUGGGGGGACCAUCCUCCAAGGCUAAAUACUCCUGACUGACCGAUAGUGAACCAGUACCGUGAGGGAAAGGCGAAAAGAACCCCGGCGAGGGGAGUGAAAAAGAACCUGAAACCGUGUACGUACAAGCAGUGGGAGCACAGGUUUACCUGUGUGACUGCGUACCUUUUGUAUAAUGGGUCAGCGACUUAUAUUCUGUAGCAAGGUUAACCGAAUAGGGGAGCCGGAGGGAAACCGAGUCUUAAUUGGGCGUUAAGUUGCAGGGUAUAGACCCGAAACCCGGUGAUCUAGCCAUGGGCAGGUUGAAGGUUGGGUAACACUAACUGGAGGACCGAACCGACUAAUGUUGAAAAAUUAGCGGAUGACCUGUGGCUGGGGGUGAAAGGCCAAUCAAACCGGGAGAUAGCUGGUUCUCCCCGAAAGCUAUUUAGGUAGCGCCUCGUGAAUUCAUCUCCGGGGGUAGAGCACUGUUUCGGCUAGGGGGCCAUCCCGGCUUACCAACCCGAUGCAAACUGCGAAUACCGGAGAAUGUUAUCACGGGAGACACACGGCGGGUGCUAACGUCCGUCGUGAAGAGGGAAACAACCCAGACCGCCAGCUAAGGUCCCAAAGUCAUGGUUAAGUGGGAAACGAUGUGGGAAGGCCCAGACAGCCAGGAUGUUGGCUUAGAAGCAGCCAUCAUUUAAAGAAAGCGUAAUAGCUCACUGGUCGAGUCGGCCUGCGCGGAAGAUGUAACGGGGCUAAACCAUGCACCGAAGCUGCGGCAGCGACACUGUGUGUUGUUGGGUAGGGGAGCGUUCUGUAAGCCUGCGAAGGUGGCCUGUGAGGGUUGCUGGAGGUAUCAGAAGUGCGAAUGCUGACAUAAGUAACGAUAAAGCGGGUGAAAAGCCCGCUCGCCGGAAGACCAAGGGUUCCUGUCCAACGUUAAUCGGGGCAGGGUGAGUCGACCCCUAAGGCGAGGCCGAAAGGCGUAGUCGAUGGGAAACGGGUUAAUAUUCCCGUACUUGGUGUUACUGCGAAGGGGGGACGGAGAAGGCUAUGUUGGCCGGGCGACGGUUGUCCCGGUUUAAGCGUGUAGGUGUGUGUUCCAGGUAAAUCCGGUUCACUUUAACACUGAGGCGUGACGACGAGGCACUACGGUGCUGAAGCAACAAAUGCCCUGCUUCCAGGAAAAGCCUCUAAGCAUCAGGUAACAUCAAAUCGUACCCCAAACCGACACAGGUGGUCAGGUAGAGAAUACCAAGGCGCUUGAGAGAACUCGGGUGAAGGAACUAGGCAAAAUGGUGCCGUAACUUCGGGAGAAGGCACGCUGACACGUAGGUGAAGUGAUUUACUCAUGGAGCUGAAGUCAGUCGAAGAUACCAGCUGGCUGCAACUGUUUAUUAAAAACACAGCACUGUGCAAACACGAAAGUGGACGUAUACGGUGUGACGCCUGCCCGGUGCCGGAAGGUUAAUUGAUGGGGUCAGCGCAAGCGAAGCUCCUGAUCGAAGCCCCGGUAAACGGCGGCCGUAACUAUAACGGUCCUAAGGUAGCGAAAUUCCUUGUCGGGUAAGUUCCGACCUGCACGAAUGGCGUAAUGAUGGCCAGGCUGUCUCCACCCGAGACUCAGUGAAAUUGAACUCGCUGUGAAGAUGCAGUGUACCCGCGGCAAGACGGAAAGACCCCGUGAACCUUUACUAUAGCUUGACACUGAACAUUGAGCCUUGAUGUGUAGGAUAGGUGGGAGGCUUUGAAGUGUGGACGCCAGUCUGCAUGGAGCCGACCUUGAAAUACCACCCUUUAAUGUUUGAUGUUCUAACGUGGACCCGUAAUCCGGGUUGCGGACAGUGUCUGGUGGGUAGUUUGACUGGGGCGGUCUCCUCCUAAAGAGUAACGGAGGAGCACGAAGGUUGGCUAAUCCUGGUCGGACAUCAGGAGGUUAGUGCAAUGGCAUAAGCCAGCUUGACUGCGAGCGUGACGGCGCGAGCAGGUGCGAAAGCAGGUCAUAGUGAUCCGGUGGUUCUGAAUGGAAGGGCCAUCGCUCAACGGAUAAAAGGUACUCCGGGGAUAACAGGCUGAUACCGCCCAAGAGUUCAUAUCGACGGCGGUGUUUGGCACCUCGAUGUCGGCUCAUCACAUCCUGGGGCUGAAGUAGGUCCCAAGGGUAUGGCUGUUCGCCAUUUAAAGUGGUACGCGAGCUGGGUUUAGAACGUCGUGAGACAGUUCGGUCCCUAUCUGCCGUGGGCGCUGGAGAACUGAGGGGGGCUGCUCCUAGUACGAGAGGACCGGAGUGGACGCAUCACUGGUGUUCGGGUUGUCAUGCCAAUGGCACUGCCCGGUAGCUAAAUGCGGAAGAGAUAAGUGCUGAAAGCAUCUAAGCACGCACGAAACUUGCCCCGAGAUGAGUUCUCCCUGAGACUUAGAGUCUCCUGAAGGAACGUUGAAGACGACGACGUUGAUAGGCCGGGUGUGUAAGCGCAGCGAUGCGUUGAGCUAACCGGUACUAAUGAACCGUGAGGCUUAACCUUACAACGCCAAAG
rnacentral:rRNA from 1 species